GUGGGGAAUAUUGGACAAUGGGCGAAAGCCUGAUCCAGCCAUGCCGCGUGUGUGAAGAAGGUCUUCGGAUUGUAAAGCACUUUAAGUUGGGAGGAAGGGCAGUAAGUUAAUACCUUGCUGUUUUGACGUUACCAACAGAAUAAGCACCGGCUAACUUCGUGCCAGCAGCCGCGGUAAUACGAAGGGUGCAAGCGUUAAUCGGAAUUACUGGGCGUAAAGCGCGCGUAGGUGGUUUUGUAAGUUGGAGGUGAAAUCCCCGGGCUCAACCUGGGAACUGCCUCCAAAACUGCAUGUCUAGAGUACGGUAGAGGGUAGUGGAAUUUCCUGUGUAGCGGUGAAAUGCGUAGAUAUAGGAAGGAACACCAGUGGCGAAGGCGACUACCUGGACUGAUACUGACACUGAGGUGCGAAAGCGUGGGGAGCAAACAGGAUUAGAUACCCCAGUAGUCC
rnacentral:rRNA from 1 species